rnacentral:rRNA from 1 species
UUUAACUUGAGAGUUUGAUCCUGGCUCAGAAUCAACGCUGGCGGCGUGCCUAAUACAUGCAAGUCGUACGCGAAAGCGGCCUUCGGGCCGUGAGUAGAGUGGCAAACGGGUGAGUAACGCGUGGGUGACCUGCCUUCGAGUGGGGGAUAACUCUCCGAAAGGAGAGCUAAUACCGCAUAAUAUCCCGCCCUUGGAUGGGUGGAGAUCAAAGCCGGGGAUCGCAAGACCUGGUGCUUGAAGAGGGACCCGCGUCCGAUUAGCUUGUUGGUGGGGUAGUGGCCUACCAAGGCUUCGAUCGGUAGCCGGCCUGAGAGGGCGGACGGCCACACUGGGACUGAGACACGGCCCAGACUCCUACGGGAGGCAGCAGUGAGGAAUUGUUCGCAAUGGGCGCAAGCCUGACGACGCAAUGCCGCGUGGAGGAUGAAGGACCUCGGUUCGUAAACUCCUUUCGAUCGGGACGAAUACCCUUAACCUAAUACGUUAAGGUUUGACGGUACCGGAAUAAGAAGCCCCGGCUAACUCUGUGCCAGCAGCCGCGGUAAUACAGGGGGGGCGAGCGUUGUUCGGAAUUACUGGGCGUAAAGGGCGCGUAGGCGGCCUAUUUAGUCGGACGUGAAAUCCCCGAGCUUAACUCGGGAACUGCGUCCGAUACUGGUGGGCUUGAAUCCGGGAGAGGGAUGUGGAAUUCCAGGUGUAGCGGUGAAAUGCGUAGAUAUCUGGGGGAACACCGGUGGCGAAGGCGACAUCCUGGACCGGUAUUGACGCUGAGGAGCGAAAGCUAGGGUAGCAAACGGGAUUAGAUACCCCGGUAGUCCUGGCCCUAAACGAUGAAUGCUUGGUGU